AAAAGGGAGCCGCGCAGCGCCUACGGGAGUCCGGCGGCAGCAGCCGGUACCGGAAACCACGGGAAUCUCUCAGGGAAUCUCCGUCGUCAGGCCAGAGGCCCCAGUCCCCGCGAGUCCAGAUGCCUGUCCAGCCUCCAAGCAAAGACACAGAAGAGAUGGAAGCAGAGGGUGAUUCUGCCGCUGAGAUGAAUGGGGAGGAGGAAGAGAGUGAGGAGGAGCGGAGCGGCAGCCAGACAGAGUCAGAAGAGGAGAGCUCUGAGAUGGAUGAUGAGGACUAUGAGCGACGCCGCAGCGAGUGUGUCAGUGAGAUGCUGGACCUAGAGAAGCAGUUCUCAGAGCUAAAGGAGAAGUUGUUCAGGGAACGACUGAGUCAGCUGCGGUUGCGGCUGGAGGAAGUGGGGGCUGAGAGAGCCCCUGAAUACACGGAGCCCCUUGGGGGGCUGCAGCGGAGCCUCAAGAUUCGCAUUCAGGUGGCAGGGAUCUACAAGGGCUUCUGUCUGGAUGUGAUCAGGAAUAAGUACGAAUGUGAGCUACAGGGAGCCAAACAGCACCUGGAGGUGAGCCUGAUUGGGCACACUGGGGGCAAGGCGGGGCUCAAGGCCUGAAGUGGCCUCACCCCAUCCGUCCUGCUGAGCUGUUGCCCCCUCUUCCAGAGUGAGAAGCUGCUGCUCUAUGACACGCUGCAGGGGGAGCUGCAGGAGCGGAUCCAGAGGCUGGAGGAGGACCGCCAGAGCCUGGACCUCAGCUCUG
rnacentral:sRNA from 1 species